rnacentral:lncRNA from 1 species
AUUCUUAGAUUUGGUCUUUUCAUUGUGUCCUGGAUUUCCUGGGUAUUUUGGGUUAGGAGUUUUUUAUGUUUUGAUUUUUCUUUGAUACUGUGUCAAUAUCUUCUACACCUGAGAUUCUCUCUUCUAUAUCUUGUAUUCUGUUGGUGAUGCUUAUAUCUGUAACUCCUGAUCGUUUUCCUAGGUUUUCCAUUUUCACUGUUGCUUCCAUUUGUGUUUUCUUUAUUGUCUACUUCCAUCUUUAGGUCUUGGACCACUUUUCAGUUCCUUCACCUGUUUGAUUGUGUUUUCCUGUAUUUCUUUAAGGGAUUUGUGCUACAUCUGCUCCAGUAGUGACACGCGCGACAGGCCCCAAAAAACCUGGGCGCUGUCCUGAGGUGAAAAGUUCAUGGAAACUUAGUCUCCUGGAACCGUGGCAUCCUGUAUAACAAAUGCUCUGAUGUCCUUGCUUUAGUUGGUAAACGGAUCUGUGUGCUUUCCCUUAAUAUUGCUUUAUUAUAAGUGCCUCUAAGGAUUGAAUUUUUGACAUAUAGCUAAAUUAGAUUCUUCACCAGUCCUAGGCAGUCCUUGAGCCGACCCUGGGCAUGGAUAGCUAAGUCACUGCCCUACACAGGAAUUUACCAUUAUCUAGGAAGAAGGGAGUUUGUGAUCUAAGGAGGAACCAGAGUAUAUACUUAGAACUAUAGAUAGCUGAGCUACACUCAUACACAGGUAUUUACAAUGGCCUAAGGGGGAGGUGGACUAUACAAUAGACUAGAAUAGGAACUAUGGCCAGGGCACAAAGCCCUUGCCUAAGACUUCUAAGAUUAAGUGGACCUUAGGUGGGGCUGCUUUUGAUUCCCAGUUGUUAACAUUGAAUUUUAUCCCAGCUGGUUUCUGCCAGUCCUUCAUGUUUGCAUUCCUCUGUUUUGUGUAAGAAUCCAGUAACCUCAUUGUACCUUGCUGGUGUGUCACCUAACUUCCCUAGUUUCUUCUGUAUAAGAAGUUUGAUGCUCGAUUUGACAAAUUACAUUCAGAUCCACACUCCCUUGUGUCAAGUCUGUUUGUCACCCCCCUUUCGCUGACUCCUUUGCCCACCUACAACCAGAUCUGUUCCGUGCAGAUAGGAGACCCAGAAGGGGUUAGUCUGCGGCAGUUGGCACCUUCGAACAGGGACUUCGGGGUAGGUAAGUCUAUUUCUUUUUCUUCUUUAUUUUCUCAGGCAAGGAUAGGAUUUCGUUACUGUGCUACAGAUGGGCUUAUAAAGAUAAAUCAGUUAAGGACAAGAAAGUAAUUUUACCAUGAGGCAGUCUGACAUUAAAACAUGUUUAGACGUUUCACCAGUAAAGGCCUACGCUAUAGUGAUGAAGGGACAGAAACUUAGUGCCAAUUUUAAGAGCACCUGUGAGAAUGGAAAGCAUCUAACAGAGGGAACAUGCUUGCUUUCCAGCAUGAAAAUCAACUUUUCUAAUUUUCUAAAAGCACUGUAGGUUUUUCCUUAUGAGCAUAGCUCUGCUCACUGUUAGCCAUCAAUUUGCUGUGGUGGCAGAAUUAUUUUCCCCUGGGAGGUCAUUUAUUUAAAAUUGGAGGACAGGCAGGCUUAGCAGAAUCUAUUGCUUGGUUGGGGUUUGUUUGAGUUUCCAGUCAUGUAGUUUUAAGUUUUUUCUCUCCCCCUCUUUUUCUCUCUCUCUCUCUUUCUUUUUUCUGUGAAGCAGUUUAGAGUUCCUUUGUUGGAUCUAACUUGCAGCGUAAAUUUUAGGUUGGAAGGUGAAAUAUAUACUAACAAUACUCUUAUCAGCUUUAAAAAAAUAGACUAUUUAUUCUGAUAUUUUCAUUCAUGUAAACAAUACCUCUUGGUCAUUGUUGGGAGCCGCCCUCACAUUUGCCAUUACAAGAUGGCGCUGACAGCUGUGUUCUAAGUAGUAAACAUAAUCUGCACACGUGCAGGGGCAGUUUUCCCGCCAUGUGUUCUGCCUUUCUCGUGAUGACAACUGGGCCGAUGGGCUGCAGCCAAUCAGGGAGUAAUACGUCCUAGGCGGAGGAUAAUUCUCCUUAAAAGGGACGGGGUUUUGCCAUUCUCUCUCUCUCUCUCUUGCUUUCUUGUUCUUGUUCUUUUUCUUGCUUUCUUGCUCUCUCUUGCUCUUGCUCUCUUGCUCUCUUGCUCUCUUGCUCUCUGGCUCCUGAAGAUGUAAGCAAUAAAGCUUUUGCUGCAG